GCAGCUAUCCUGAGGGAAAUUUCGGAGGGAACCAGCUACUAGAUGAUUCGAUUAGUCUUUCGCCCCUAUACUCAAUUUUUACGACCGAUUUGCACGUCAGGACCGCUACGAGCCUCCACCACCGUUUCCGGUGGCUUCACCCUAAUCAAGCAUAGUUCACCAUCUUUCGGGUCCCAGCAUUUAUGCUCACACUCAGACCUUUCAACCGAAGUUUUGUGGCCGGCGGAUGAUGCAAAAAAAUAUCACCACUGUUACUUUCAUUACGCGUAUGAUGUUAAAAAUCAGACACUCGCACAGAUGCUAGACUCCUUGGUCCGUGUUUCAAGACGGGGUGUACAAAAACAUUUCGACAACAACACGAAGACUAGCCUCAAUCCAGACCAAAACGAGACAAGCUGGUAAUCCACGAAAAGACGUGUGCCUCCCAGCCAUACUUAUGCUUCGAUCCAAACCCUUGUUGACAAACUCUGCAUCACAGCGCCUCAAUGACAAGUCAGUGAGGAAAGAUGAUACAGCGAAACACUGUUUUUGUACGCUUCCCUUUCAACGAUUUCGAGUACUCUUUAACUCUCUUUUCAAAGUUCUUUGCAACUUUCAUUCACAUUACUUGUUCGCUAUCGGUUUCCCACCAAUAUUUAGUUUUAUGACAAAUUUACGUCACACUUUGAUCAGCAAUCCCAAGCUAAUCGACUCGUCGAAGGUGUAUGCCAUGGACAAGAACUUUAAACAUGAACGGUGGUCUCAACCUCUUCGCCUAUACGUUCCAGUAUAAUUAGUAAAAAGCCUCGUCCGACACAUCUUCUAUAGGCCACAACUCGGUACUAGGUACCGAUUCACAGGCUGAACUAGAUCCAGUUUCACUCGCCGUUACUAAUGGAAUCAUUGUUAUUUUCUUUUCCUCCGCUUAAUUAUAUGCUUAAAUUCGGCGGGUAAUCUUACCAAGCUGAGAUUCGAUUGUAGAACUAAUGAUUCAACACAGCUUUCACUGUAGUAAAUCACGCCACAGGAAUGCGGGUGGGUCUUGCUCAGAAGGCACAACAUAAUCCUAUUUGCAGAUAGCAAAUUUACCAUAUGUCGGCUCCUUUAACACAAGACACACUUGCUUUCCAGACGCAAGGUGCAAUGCACAAGGCAUAGCCACUCACUUUAGCUAUGCUGUAAGCCUAGGCCACAGCAAAGCCACAAUCAGACACUCAAAAAAGAGGUCUAGUGGGGUUCACGAACACUCAACACGGCAUGAUACCAGGAAUGUCCCGGUAUCGCAAGGUGCGUUCAAAAUUUUGAUGAUUCACGAGGUCCUGCAAUUCGCAUUACGUAUCGCAUUUCGCUGCGUUCUUCAUCGUUGUGGGAACCAAGUUGUCCAUCGUUGAAAGUUGUUUUUCAUUAAUAGAUUAGCAAGGAAUGUCCAGCGACGCAAAAGCAUCAAGCCAGCCAUAUCCUUGUUUUGGAUUCAGUUAAUUGUUUUAUUAGGUAUUGGGCGGCGAGGCACCGAAGUGCCCCGCCUGAGGCUUUCGCCUCUUGUUUUUUUGUAAAAUAAUCACAGGUACCACCACAAUGUGCCAUGAUAGACAAUUUGUAGUGAUGCACUGCUUGUUCUCGGGAGUUUAGAUCGGAGAUCUGAUGUGAUAAUGAUCCCUCCGCAGGUUCACCUACGGAGACCUUGUUACGACUUCACCUUCCUCUAAAAAACAAGGUUCAGAAAGGUUCUCACGGCAAUGUCCAAUAAAGGACAACGCUACGAUCUCGAUUCUUCACCGGGCUUUUCAAUCGGUAGGUGCGACGGGCGGUGUGUACAAAGGGCAGGGACGUAAUCAAUGCAUUUUGAUGAAAUGCGUUUACUAGGAAUUCCUCGUUCACGAUAACAAUUGCAGCUAUCGAUCCCUUUCAAGGCACACUUUAGAAGAUUUCCCAGACCUCUCGGGCAAGGAUAAGCUCGUUGAAUGUGCCAUUGUAACACGCGUGCGGUUCAGAACAUCUAAGGGCAUCACAGACCUGUUAUCGCCCUCAUCUUCCUGUAGCUUAAUGCUACAUGUCCCUCUAAGAAACCGUAAUCUAUCAAAUUGAUAAAAUCGAUUAUUUAGCAGGCGAGGGUCUCGUUCGUUAACGGAAUAAACCAGACAAAUCACUCCACCAACUAAGAACGGCCAUGCACCACCUCCCAAAGAAUCAAGAAAGAGCUCUCAAUCUGUCAAUCCUCACUUUGUCUGGACCUGAUAAGUUUUCCCGUGUUGAGUCAAAUUAAGCCGCAGGUUCCACUCCUGGUGGUGCCCUUCCGUCAAUUUCUUUAAGUUUCAGCCUUGCGACCAUACUCCCCCCGGAACCCAAAGACUUUGAUUUCUCCUACAGUUCAGUCUAUCGUUAAAUCGACAGACCACCCUGAGUCGGCAUAGUUUAUGGUAUAGACUACGAUGGUAUCUAAUCAUCUUCGAUCCCCAUACUUUCGUUCUUGAUUAAUGAAAACAUCCUUGGUAAAUGCUUUCGCAGUCGUUCGUCUUACGAUAAUCUAAGAAUUUCACCUCUGAC
rnacentral:rRNA from 1 species